rnacentral:rRNA from 1 species
UAGCAUAUCAAUAAGCGGAGGAAAAGAAACCCACAGGGAUUGCCCUAGUAACGGCGAGUGAAGCGGCAACAGCUCAAAUUUGAAAUCUGGCCCUCGUGGUCCGAGUUGUAAUUUGUAGAGGAUGCUUUUGGUGCGGUGCCUUCCGAGUUCCCUGGAACGGGACGCCAUAGAGGGUGAGAGCCCCGUCUGGUUGGACACCAAUCCUCUGUAAAGCUCCUUCGACGAGUCGAGUAGUUUGGGAAUGCUGCUCUAAAUGGGAGGUAUAUGUCUUCUAAAGCUAAAUACUGGCCAGAGACCGAUAGCGCACAAGUAGAGUGAUCGAAAGAUGAAAAGCACUUUGAAAAGAGGGUUAAAUAGUACGUGAAAUUGUUGAAAGGGAAGCGUUUGUGACCAGACUUGGGCUUGGUUAAUCAUCCGGCGUUCUCGCCGGUGCACUUUGCCAGCCCAGGCCAGCAUCAGUUUGCUGCGGGGGAUAAAGGUUUCGGGAACGUAGCUCCUCGGAGUGUUAUAGCCCGUUGCGUAAUACCCUGUGGUGGACUGAGGUUCGCGCAUCUGCAAGGAUGCUGGCGUAAUGGUCAUCAACGACCCGUCUUGAAACACGGACCAAGGAGUCGUCUUUGUAUGCGAGUGUUCGGGUGUCAAACCCCUACGCGUAAUGAAAGUGAACGGAGGUGGGAGCCUCGGCGCACCAUCGACCGAUCCUGAUGUUUUUGGAUGGAUUUGAGUAAGAGCAUACGGGGCCGGACCCGAAAGAAGGUGAACUAUGCCUGUAUAGGGUGAAGCCAGAGGAAACUCUGGUGGAGGCUCGCAGCGGUUUUGACGUGCAAAUCGAUCGUCAAAUAUGGGCAUGGGGGCGAAAGACUAAUCGAACCUUCUAGUAGCUGGUUUCCGCCGAA